rnacentral:tRNA from 1 species
GCAACUGGAUAGCUCAGCUGGUUAGAGCGUGGUGCUGAUAACACCAAGGUCACAAGUUCGAUCCCUGUAUGGGACAGCAGCA